AUUGAACGUUGGCGGCAUGCCUAACACAUGCAUGUCGAACGGUUUUGGAGCUUGCUCCAAGAUAGUGGCGGACGGGCGAGUAACGCGUAGGCAUCUACCUUAUAGAGGGGGACAACCCGGGGAAACUCGGGCUAAUACCGCAUAAUAAUCGAGAGAUUAAACGAUGGGACCUUUUUGCCAUACUAUAUAACUUGAGCCUGCGUUGGACUAGCUAGUUGGUGGGGUAAAGGCGUACCAAGGCGUCGGUCCAUAACUGGUCUGGAAGGAUGACCAGUCACACUGGGAGUGAGACACGGCCCAGACUCCUACGGGAGGCAGCAGUGGGGAAGGUUAGACAAUGGCAGCAACCCUGAUCCAGCAAUGCCUCGUGUGUGAAGAAGGCCGGCGGGUUGUAAAGGACUUUUAGUGAUGAGAAAGGUAAUUGUGUGAAGGGCAUGAUUAUUUGACGUUAGUCACAGAGAAAGCACCGGCUAACUCUGUGCCAGCAGCCGCCGCGG
rnacentral:rRNA from 1 species